UCUUAUGGACGAGCAAAGAAAGCGGUUUCUUGAGAUGGAAUCUGCUCCUGAUGAAGACGUUGUGAC
rnacentral:pre_miRNA from 1 species